GACGGAGGAUGCAAGCGUUAUCCGGAAUUACUGGGCGUAAAGCGUGCGUAGGCGGCGGGGUAAGUCGGGUGUGAAAUCUCAGGGCUCAACCCUGAAAUUGCAUUCGAUACUGCUUCGCUUGAGCUCUGAAGAGGAGGUUGGAAUUUACGGUGUAGCAGUGAAAUGCGUAGAUAUCGUAAGGAAGGCCGGUGGCGAAAGCGAACCUCUGGGCAGCAGCUGACGCUGUGGCACGAAGGCUAGGGGAGCAAACGGG
rnacentral:rRNA from 1 species